CUCAGUAUAAGUACCUUGGCACCAGGACACUCCCUUCAGUUGUGUAAACCGCCGCAAGGAGAAAAAUAUUGCAUGACAUGACAGAGGGGAACUCAGGUGAGAUGUGUGAAUCACAGAGGCCCACUCGAAAAACUACAAUUACAGAAGCUCUAGCAUAUUCCGAAGAGGCUCCGCGCAGAUGCGGAUCACCCACAGUGUGAUUCACAGAGGCCAUGAAGAAGAACCAGUCUCCGUAACCAGCCAGCCCUCCCAAGGAGAGUGCGAAAAGGCAGGUAGCCGGUUUGGUCUAUAUAAAAAAAACUCACCAACUACAGUUUGCUCCAAAUCCACCAUGACAGCCCGUGGCACAUGUUUCCCAG